UACGUAGGUGGCGAGCGUUGUCCGGAAUUACUGGGCGUAAAGGGCGCGUAGGCGGUUUUUUAAGUUAGAUGUGAAAACCCAGGGCUUAACUUUGGGCGUGCAUUUAAAACUGGAGAACUUGAGUGCAGGAGAGGUAAGUGGAAUUCCUAGUGUAGCGGUGAAAUGCGUAGAUAUUAGGAGGAACACCAGUGGCGAAGGCGACUUACUGGACUGUAACUGACGCUGAGGCGCGAAAGCGUGGGGAGCAAACAGG
rnacentral:rRNA from 1 species